GGGCCACAUCACGCUGAAAUACCGGUUACUGUAUGAUCACCGAAGUUAAGCAACCUUGAGCCUGGUCUCUACCUAGAUGGGUGACCGCUUGGGAAUACCAGGUGCU